GCGGAGUGAGAAGCGGCUGGCUCUGCCAGAGGAGGCUAGCGGCGCGGUGGAGGUUUUGGUAUGAACAGGAUUCGGAUUCACGUCUUGCCAACCAAUAGGGGGAGGAUCACCCCAGUGCCCAGGUCUCAGGAGCCUCUGUCUUGUUCCUUCACUCAUCGCCCAUGCUCGCAACCUCGUCUGGAGGGGCAGGAGUUUUGCAUUAAGCAUAUCCUUGAAGACAAGAAUGCACCCUUCAAACAGUGUAGUUAUAUAUCGACGAAGAAUGGAAAAAGAUGUCCCAGUGCUGCCCCGAAGCCAGAGAAGAAAGAUGGGGUAUCCUUCUGUGCUGAACACACCCGUAGGAAUGCCCUAGCACUUCAUGCUCAAAUGAAGAAGACCAACCCAGGGCCUAUGGGUGAAACACUUUUGUGC